AACGAACGCUGGCGGCAGGCUUAACACAUGCAAGUCGAACGCAUCCUUCGGGGUGAGUGGCAGACGGGUGAGUAACGCGUGGGAACGUGCCCUUCAGUUCGGGAUAACCCAGGGAAACUUGGGCUAAUACCGGAUACGUGCGAGAGCAGAAAGAUUUAUCGCUGAAGGAUCGGCCCGCGUCUGAUUAGCUAGUUGGUGGGGUAAUGGCCCACCAAGGCGACGAUCAGUAGCUGGUCUGAGAGGAUGAUCAGCCACAUUGGGGCUGAGACACGGCCCAAACGCAUACGGGAGGCAGCAGUGGGGAAUAGUGGACAAUGGGCGCAAGCCUGAUCCAGCCAUGCCGCGUGAGUGAUGAAGGCCUUAGGGUUGUAAAGCUCUUUCGUCCGGGACGAUAAUGACGGUACCGGAAGAAGAAGCCCCGGCUAACUUCGUGCCAGCCGCCGCAGUAA
rnacentral:rRNA from 1 species